UGGGGAAUAUUGGACAAUGGAGGCAACUCUGAUCCAGCAAUGCCGCGUGUGUGAAGAAGGCCUUAGGGUUGUAAAGCACUUUCAAUUGUGAAGAAGAGUUUAAGGUUAAUAACCUUGAGCUUUGACGUUAACUUUAGAAGAAGCACCGGCUAACUCUGUGCCAGCAGCCGCGGUAAUACAGAGGGUGCAAGCGUUAAUCGGAAUUACUGGGCGUAAAGCGCGCGUAGGCGGUUAGAUAAGUCAGAUGUGAAAUCCCCGGGCUCAACCUGGGAACUGCACCUGAUACUGUCUGGCUAGAGUUUUGGAGAGGGAAGUAGAAUUUCAGGUGUAGCGGUGAAAUGCAUAGAGAUCUGAAGGAAUACCAGUGGCGAAGGCGACUUCCUGGCCAAAAACUGACGCUGAGGUGCGAAAGCGUGGGUAGCAAACG
rnacentral:rRNA from 1 species